AAAUAGGCAUGUUUGCUAAAUAUACUAUAUUAAAAUUAGGGCACUUAUACGUGUGAGCUCCUCUUCUUAGAACUGUGGGAUCAGGUUGUUGACGUAGAUAAGCAAGAGCUGAUUUCAAAUACUCGUCAUUCAUCCGCUCUAAUGCUCUAUGGAUUCGCUCUACUGUAUAAUUCAGGGGUUCUGAUAGGAUAUUACCUGAUAAGGCGAUCAAUGCAGUGGUGAAGACUACAUUUCCGAAAUACCCGGAUGGGAGUGGAGGAUUCAAUUUAGAACGUCCAUUUGUAGGAAAGUGUAACUUGCUGGCUUGAUCAUCAGACAAUUCACGUGCUUUACAUACGCAUCGCCAAAUAUGUGCUGCCAGGACCUCAAGUCUAGUGUACUCGAAUGUGGAUCCACGAUUUUCUUUAGAUUUUUCCUUGAGAAUCUUGAUUUGCUCAAGUGACAGAUUCAGGAUUGCGGUACAAAUGGAUUCGGAAUUUUGAGUAGGAGUAUUCAUUGAAGGAGGUGGGUCGUAUUCAAUGUGAUGGAAUCUAGGAGAAUUUGGAACCCCAAAAUCUAGUACGGUUCGAUCAAAGAAAGGUGGAAUGCUAAUAGGAACACCACGUGUCAUCUCAGCCCAUGAGUUGACGAAAUGGUACGUUGAAGCUCCAUCUGCUAAAAUAUGAUGAAAUCUAGUCGCAAGACAAACGCCUCCGCAUUUGAAACGAGUUACCUACUCAACACACACAGCACAGCAUUACUUAAUAAAACCAAGUCUCAUGAAUCAAUUGAUCAGGGGAUUAAAUAUUCGUCGUACCUGUGUCAUCAUGAGUGGAUAAGAAGAAUUAUCUUUCGUCUCAUCAAAAGUUGGAAGCAACGACAAAAGCUUGGAGCCUUCGGCGAAGUCACCAAAAUCAUCAAUAACACAACUUGUUUCCGCCUCCACAAACAAAACCCCCUCUCCGUUACAUAGUAUGUCGGUUCUGCCACUUUCAUCACUCGGCAACCUUCCAGCCACGGGUCGAAACGGCACAAGAAUCUUUUUCAGAGACUCCUUCAGCAAACCAGCAUCAAAGAAAUUAGGGGAAGAAUAAUUUGGCCGUCGAUAAAAGAAUACCAGGGGGACGUAAUUGGAUGGCGCAAUCAAGUCCAAGUCAGAAUUUCGUAGGCGUUGCUUGGGCGUUUCUUGGGCAGGCCGUAUCAUUGUUGACUUCUGUACAUGAAUUUCCAUUGUGCUAGCCGUGGCGACUUGGCUGAUUAGAACGGCAGCGGCAGACGGCGGUUAAUCUUCUCUGCUCUAGCAGCUUUCGUGUGUUGUGUCGGCAGGCUGCGUUUAGGAUUUUCUUUAAAAAAAAAAAGGAAAGGUUAUGAAACUUACACGCCUCUGACUCUGUUUUUGUCUCAGUUUCAAAAUAAAAAAUUCUAUUUUUGUCUUUUUUUUUUUAUAAUUAAAAAAUGGAUCCGAAUACGUGGCAAAUAUCAGAUGCUGAUGAUCUGCAUCCAACUUUUUUUUAAAUUUAAUAAUGCACAUAUCAUUAGAAAAACAGUAGGGCUAUUUGAACGCUAAAAUCUACUUUAAACAUUCGUUUAGUCCGCGCGCUUAAUUAAUAAUCUCAAAAAUGUUAGUUUUUAUUUGUAACACUCUUUUAAAUUUUAUAUUGUCCUCAUUUCUUUAAUUACCUUGUUUCUUCUUUAUACCAAAUGAAAUAUUCAUCAUCACAAACAAAAUAUCUAACUUUUUUUUCCAUUUUUAUUCACUUUUCUUUUCUGUUCAUAAUAUGGUUUGAUAUGUAUUUGUUCAGUGGCAGAUCUAAAAAAAUAAUUUACCGAAGCCUAGAUUACAUAAUAGUAAAAUUUUAAAACUAAAACUUUGAAUAUAUAAAAUAUUUAUUAAUAUAUUUAUAAUUGUUCUUGACACAUUUUCAAGAAUAGAAAAAUAUUUGUGGUGAUGACCUAUCAUUAUUUUUAAUUAUAAUGUAGGCUUUUAUAAUUUUAAAAGUUAAAGUUUAAAUUUUGUGAAUUUAUAAAUGUAUAAGGUCAAUUUUAAUAGAUUUAUUGGGGACUAAUUAGAAAUCUUAAAUAUUUUUUCUUUUAUUCUUAGAAUUUUUUUUUUGGCCAGCGAGGGCUACAACCCCCACUGGUCACAUACUGCACCCGCCCCUGUAUUUGUUCUUCUCUUAUUGCCGCAAUUUAAUUGUUUUUCAAACCCAUAAAAGCAUGCAAAUCGGAGAGCAAAUUUAAAACAAAAUCCUUUGAUUUACUUGCGUUUUCUUAUGUUGGAGUGGUGCAAUUUGUUGUUCUUCCUCCACCUCUAUUUUUAAUUCCUUUUGUUUCAGUUAUAAAGUUGAUGUGGUUUAUUGUAAAUAAAAUAUGAUGUUGGACAAAAAUUUGUUAUACUAUAUUUUAUUAAAAUUGUCCUUAAUAGUAAAUUACAUUAAGGUUAAUUUAGUAAUAUAAAUAAUUAUUAAAAUGUGAGUGUCCAAAGUAAAUUUUAGAGUGCAUAUAACCCCACCCUUCAAAAAAGGACCGGGUGCAGAUUUCGUGGAUCCAGACCUAAUGAAUAGAGAAAAAUGAAGUAAGUACCAGAAAUAAAAAAUUAAGAAAAUGAAAUAAUACUUGUGAACAGGGAUUCUUAUUUUCUUUCUUAAACAAGCAAGUAAAUAUGGAAGUGACCAAACGGUUGUGGCUCAGUUGGCGACGCAGGCUGGGUAAGUGGGAAGAGUUCUCGAGUUCGAUCCCCACUAAACAAACCAUUUGGGAGGGGUAAAGAGCCUUAACUGUGAUUACACCCCGAAUCCGGAUUAGUCGGGGCCCAAUGCAGUUGCCGGAAAUCGGGUGGUUUAAACCAAAAAAAAAAACAAAAAAUAUGGAAGUGAGAGGAUUCCGAACUCCCCGCUUCUUUUAAAAUCUUGAGCCAACUACCAUUGAUUGAGGGUUCUGAUCCCAUGUACAAACUAGCAGGAUAGAUAAAAAUAUAUAUUUAUAGGGUUGUUACAGAGUCAUUGAGAUGAUCGAGGUCACAUCAUUAUUUGCUUACACACAUCAGUUGGAGUAAGAGUAGUUAGGGAUUUGAGUAGAUUUGUUCUCAAAAGCAUAUUUUUCGUUUUAACACAUUAUGACCAACCUUUUUCUUCUGUCUUUUGCCUUCCAUUAUCUGCCUCUCAUCUAUCAUUUUAACUUUAAUUUGAAGGAAUACCAAGAAAACGAGGAUUUUCUUUUUCAAAAGAAAAUAAAGAACUGUGGAAUAUUUUCGUUUUCUAAUUAGAGAUGAUUGAACAGAAACCUGGAUAUACUUGGUAAGUGGGAACUUCAUGUAAUAAGUUCUUAGUUUAUUUAACUAAUAAUUAUCAUGCCACUCGCCCUGCGCAAUGUGGGGGUAUUUCCUUCCUUAAUUAUAUUGUAUAAAUGAGUGAAGGUAAUAUUCUCUCUUAUCCAAGAGUAAGUGGAGUAGACAUCUUUCGAAUAUUAAUGUGGAUUAAAAUCUAGGCAAAGCUCCGUAGGCAUUGAUGUAAGUCGGUAGACAUCCCUCGAAUAUUAGUGAUGAUUAAAAUCUGGGCAGAGCUCUGUAGGCAUUGAUGUAAGUCGAUUCCAGUAAUAGUCUGAUUUGUAAAUAUCAGUUAUAGUCUCAUAUAAUAUCAGUUGUAGUUUGAGCAAUAGUCUCAUAUAAUAAAAAAAAAAAACUAAUAAUGAUCAUAAUUUUAUAUUUAUAUUAAAUUUUAAAUGUAAUAAUUUCUUAGUUUAUUAACUUAUUUGCUUAUACAUGACUUGUGAUGGGCUUCGUUUAUGUCCAGCCUCGAUAGCUUUAGCUUUGUAACUCUUUAGUUCUUGCCUAUAUGUCUUUUCAUGGUUUAGCUAUGGCUAGCAUUUGCUCUUUCUUCUCUCUUGCACUAUUUUCACUUUCUUUUAGUUAAUAAAUUUUCCCACCUCACUUAGUAGAGGUUCCAUUAUAAAGAAAUGAAAAUUACUUGUUUACUUGUGUGAUUUGUUAUGGGCUCGGUAGAUUUAGCUUCGUAACUCUUUGUUUUCUCAUCUAAUGGUUUUGAAUGUUAAUAUUAUCUCUAUUCGCAUAUCUAUAUUCUCAAAUUCACAAGCACCUGCUAAUAAAAAUGAAAGUGCUCCAAGUAAUUCCAGCCACCCAAAAAAGGAAAGGAGAACCAAGGACAAAACAUUUCACAAUAUGUGCUCAAAAAUAGGAGCAACGACGGAGUCCAUUUCAACCAUGGUACCCAAAUUAGAUGGGUUGAUUAGUGUACUUUCUACUACUAAUAAGUAGUUAUCUGAUUUACAAGUUAAGUUGUAUGAUAAAAUGCGUAAGAUUGUUGGCUUAAGUGAGAAAGAAAUAUUUGAUGCGAUUGAUAUUAUGGCCACCAAACAUGAUGUGCUACGUGGGUUCUUCAACUUGCCCAAUGAGCUGGAAAAAGGGAUAUAUCCUUUCAAAAAUUGGUCGUGAUUCAUGAGAUGUAAUCUUCUAUCAUUUUGGAAAUUGAAAUUGUGUUUUGUCAAGUAAGCACACCAUUUUGGAACAUUGGAAACGUGUGUUUUUUUUUUUUUGGAAAUUUAGACUUGUGGUGCUAUGUAAAAUAUUUUGGGCUUAAAUAUUUGUAAUAGGAUGAACUACAGACUCUUAUGUUUUUGCUAUAGACGCAUGUAGUUUUUUUUUUUUUUUUGUCUGAAAUCUGAAUAAAUCUAAAUUAGUUAAAAUUGUGAAUAGAACUGAAUGUCUGAAGCUGAAUGAUAUGUUUCUUUUUUUGUCUGAAUCGCUAAAAAUAAAUAUUAAUUUUUUUAAUCUUAAAAAAUCUAAAAACUAAUAUUUUUUACAUUUAUGCCCUUAUAAAUUAUAAAUGUUAGCAAAUAAUAAACAUCUCAAAAAAUAUAAUAACAUAAAUCAUAUUCAAUUGAAUGCAACUCUUUAAUAUUCUAUGUUAUAUAUGUUAAACAAUUUUAUUAUAGUUUAUGAUGUUUUUAAAUGAAAAAUAUUCAUAGAAAAUUAUGAAGAUAAAUAAUGCUAAUGUGAAGAAAAUAAAAAAAAAAAUAAUUAUAAUCUACCACUAUAUAUUAUCACAAGUUAUAUAGAGAUGGCUAAUAUUGCUAAUUAUUAAAUUUAAUUCACGUAAGGAUUAAAAAUUAAUUAAUUAGAUAAGGAUAUUUUAGAGAAUAUCUUUUAACGAUGUUAUUCAGACUUUUUAGAUUAAGUAAAAAGCUAAAAAAAUAGCUUAAUAACUGAAAAUUUUCAUUAAGUUGAAAAAACAAAUAAACUUAAUACUUAACUGAUUAAAAUUAGUCAAUUAAUUCAUUAAGUUAAAAAAAAAGGGUCUUGCAUCCUCAAUGGUAAAGUUGUUUAUGACUUUUGCUCAAAGAAGUGUUGUCUUUUUUAUUUUUUCUUUGGUUUUUCCUCAUGUAACUGGUGAUGAUCAAUUUCUUUCUUAACUCACACCAAAUUUAUCAGGAGAUUGUCAUAUAUAUUAUCAAUUGUUGUCUUUAAUCAUCCUGUACUUUUAAGGCUCACGUGCCUAGAAUUUUUAACUCAGCCCAGCAUGCAUACGUGUCAUGUUGUGCUGCAUGCCCUACCAAAAUAUGCUCAUGUCUUGCCGUGUUGUAUCGACAUGCACCGUGUCCGUACCGUGCCGCAUGUUGCCUGGCCAUUGGCCAUCUCUAAUUAAGAACAAUAAAUUUUGCUGUAAAUUUUUUUUUUCAGAUAUUGGUGACAAAAUAAUGAAAGUGGGCCAAUUUAUUUAAUCACAUGAGUUGGACUAUUGACAUCCUCCAUGAGUUGGACUAUUGACAUCCUCCAAAUAACUCUUGAAAUUCCUUUUCUUCUUUCUGCCCCAUUAAAAUUAUUUAAAAAUUAAAAUGUUCUUAUACCCCUAUUUUAAUUCUAAAAAUAGUCCUAAUUUCUUAUUCAAUAAAUACCUAAAAUGUUUGCACCUAUCUUCUCUUUCUCUUGAUAAGUUUAUAUCUCUUUCUCUCUCUCAUUUGCUUACUUCUCUCUAUUUCUCUUUUGUCGUGAACUCUCUUCCACCAUCAACUUUUUUUUUUUUUUCUGUUUGUAAGUUUAUGGUGUUUCUAAUAGAGAAAGUUUAUGGUGUACCUCGCCCCAUUGUGUAACUAUGUGAGGGGCUAAAAUAUCAUUGCAUAAUGUCGCAUAUUUGGCUUAAUGAUACGACUCCACGUAGUUUCAUUUUUUCAUUUUGUAAAGUGGCUAGGUUCCUUCUUUGGUCCUUCGGCUUUGAUACUGUUUAUCUAUCUACUCGUUACUUCAUUUUGAUUUUCCAAAGUUGUUGGGUUUGUAAAUGUGUCACAUUUUCAUUACCGAGAAUAAUAUUUGGAUUUUUUUUAAAUAAGUGUUAAACACAAUGCCUAUUCAACGAAUCUAACAAUUGUUUUAAAAAAAAAUUAAAAUUUCAUAUGGGAGAAAUUCUAAAAUAUAUCAAAGAUGUCAUGAAAAUUUAAAAAAAAAAAUCUCUUAAUAACAUCUGAAUUAUAAUGCAAGGGACUUUAGCGUUUUUGUUUGGCUAGUUGACUAUUCCCAACAUACUCUAAAGUUCUUGAGGGUAUGGUAGCUGGAAGAUCGAGUUGUUAUAGGAACUUUUGGUAAUGGUAUCGCGUAGUGAGCUAUUAUAUUAAAGAAGAAAACAAUCUCAUUCUGUGUACAUCACUAAUAAUAUAUUACUAAUUAAAGAGCUAACAAAAUAUGAAAUUAAAAAAGAAAAAAACUUUUAUCAAGGAUGACAAAAGUGGAAGGUCAAAACCAUAAUGAGCCGAAGACACACAAUAUCUACAGCCAUCAACAGCUAGUUGAGUCACCCGAACCAGGGAUCCCUUGAUCAUUUUCUCUCAGACUUGGUUUAUCACAUUGAUUGAUCACUGACAUAUCAAUAUCUAGAUCUUGCAUUCUUGGGGUGCUGAAAGAUCUCAUAAAACAACUUCUUGAAGGGCUGCACGUGAUGGGUUUCCAAGUUUAUAAACACUGUCAAGCUCCCAUCAUUGCUUGGACUUGGAUAAAUAUGCGCUACCCCUUCGAAAUAUGUAUUAACCAACCUUGAAAACAUUGGCGGCCCCCACCCGAAAUUUGCAUCAUAAAUAGGCAUGUUUGCUAAAUAUACUAUAUUAAAAUUAGGGCACUUAUACGUGUGAGCUCCUCUUCUUAGAACUGUGGGAUCAGGUUGUUGACGUAGAUAAGCAAGAGCUGAUUUCAAAUACUCGUCAUUCAUCCGCUCUAAUGCUCUAUGGAUUCGCUCUACUGUAUAAUUCAGGGGUUCUGAUAGGAUAUUACCUGAUAAGGCGAUCAAUGCAGUGGUGAAGACUACAU
rnacentral:lncRNA from 1 species